GAUGAACGCUGGCGGCGUGCCUAAUACAUGCAAGUCGAGCGAAUGGAUUAAGAGCUUGCUCUUAUGAAGUUAGCGGCGGACGGGUGAGUAACACGUGGGUAACCUGCCCAUAAGACUGGGAUAACUCCGGGAAACCGGGGCUAAUACCGGAUAACAUUUUGAACCGCAUGGUUCGAACGUGAAAGGCGGCUUCGGCUGUCACUUAUGGAUGGACCCGCGUCGCAUUAGCUAGUUGGUGAGGGAACGGCUCACCAAGGCAACGAUGCGUAGCCGACCUGAGAGGGUGAUCGGCCACACUGGGACUGAGACACGGCCCAGACUCCUACGGGAGGCAGCAGUAGGGAAUCUUCCGCAAUGGACGAAAGUCUGACGGAGCAACGCCGCGUGAGUGAUGAAGGCUUUCGGGUCGUAAAACUCUGUUGUUAGGGAAGAACAAGUGCUAGUUGAAUAAGCUGGCACCUUGACGGUACCUAACCAGAAAGCCACGGCUAACUACGUGCCAGCCGCCGCGGUAA
rnacentral:rRNA from 1 species